rnacentral:rRNA from 1 species
AUUGAACGCUGGCGGCAUGCCUUACACAUGCAAGUCGAACGGCAGCACGGGAGCAAUCCUGGUGGCGAGUGGCGAACGGGUGAGUAAUGUAUCGGAACGUACCUUUCAGUGGGGGAUAACGUAGCGAAAGUUACGCUAACACCGCAUAUUCUGUGAGCAGGAAAGCAGGGGAUCGCAAGACCUUGCGCUGAUUGAGCGGCCGAUAUCAGAUUAGCUAGUUGGUGAGGUAAAGGCUCACCAAGGCGACGAUCUGUAGCGGGUCUGAGAGGAUGAUCCGCCACACUGGAACUGAGACACGGUCCAGACUCCUACGGAGGCAGCAGUGGGGAAUUUUGGACAAUGGGGGNAACCCUGAUCCAGCCAUGCCGCGUGAGUG